GUGGGUAGUUUGACUGGGGCGGUCUCCUCCUAAAGAGUAACGGAGGAGCACGAAGGUUGGCUAAUCCUGGUCGGACAUCAGGAGGUUAGUGCAAUGGCAUAAGCCAGCUUGACUGCGAGCGUGACGGCGCGAGCAGGUGCGAAAGCAGGUCAUAGUGAUCCGGUGGUUCUGAAUGGAAGGGCCAUCGCUCAACGGAUAAAAGGUACUCCGGGGAUAACAGGCUGAUACCGCCCAAGAGUUCAUAUCGACGGCGGUGUUUGGCACCUCGAUGUCGGCUCAUCACAUCCUGGGGCUGAAGUAGGUCCCAAGGGUAUGGCUGUUCGCCAUUUAAAGUGGUACGCGAGCUGGGUUUAGAACGUCGUGAGACAGUUCGGUCCCUAUCUGCCGUGGGCGCUGG
rnacentral:rRNA from 3 species